AAAGUACUCCCUCCGUCCCAAAAUUCUUGUCUUAGAUUUUUCUAGAUACGGAUGUAUCAAGUCACAUUUUAGUAUUAUAUACAUCCGUAUCUAGACAAAUCUAAGACAAGAAAUUUAGGACAGAGGGAGUAGUUG
rnacentral:pre_miRNA from 1 species